rnacentral:rRNA from 1 species
AGAACGAACGCUGGCGGCACGCCUAACACAUGCAAGUCGAGCGCCCAGCAAUGGGAGCGGCGGACGGGUGAGUAACACGUGGGAAUAUGCCUUUCGGUACGGAACAACUCAGGGAAACUUGAGCUAAAUGCCGUAUACGCCCUUACGGGGAAAGAUUUAUCGCCGAAAGAUUAGCCCGCGUCUGAUUAGCUAGUUGGUGAGGUAAUGGCUCACCAAGGCUUCGAUCAGUAGCUGGUUUGAGAGAACGACCAGCCACACUGGGACUGAGACACGGCCCAGACUCCUACGGGAGGCAGCAGUAGGGAAUCUUGCGCAAUGGGCGAAAGCCUGACGCAGCAACGCCGCGUGGGGAUGAAUGCCUUCGGGUUGUAAACUCCUUUCAGCGGAACGAAUUGACGGUACCGCAGAAGAAGCCCCGGCCAACUACGUGCCAGCAGCCGC